GAUGAACGCUGGCGGCGUGCCUAAUACAUGCAAGUCGAGCGAACAGACGAGGAGCUUGCUCCUCUGACGUUAGCGGCGGACGGGUGAGUAACACGUGGAUAACCUACCUAUAAGACUGGGAUAACUUCGGGAAACCGGAGCUAAUACCGGAUAACAUGUUGAACCGCAUGGUUCAACAGUGAAAGACGGUCUUGCUGUCACUUAUAGAUGGAUCCGCGCCGCAUUAGCUAGUUGGUAAGGUAACGGCUUACCAAGGCAACGAUGCGUAGCCGACCUGAGAGGGUGAUCGGCCACACUGGAACUGAGACACGGUCCAGACUCCUACGGGAGGCAGCAGUAGGGAAUCUUCCGCAAUGGGCGAAAGCCUGACGGAGCAACGCCGCGUGAGUGAAGAAGGUCUGCGGAUCGUAAAACUCUGUUAUUAGGGAAGAACAAAUGUGUAAGUAACUAUGCACGUCUGGACGGUACCUAAUCAGAAAGCCACGGCUAACUACGU
rnacentral:rRNA from 1 species